GUCGCAGUAGCUCAGCUGGAUAGAGCAACGGUCUUCUAAACCGUAGGUCAUGAGUUCGAAUCUCAUCUGCGGCACUA
rnacentral:tRNA from 2 species